ACUCGGAGGACAAGCAACCGCUCUGAACCCAUUGCCUGUUCUGAACUUCCGACUGAAUGUAACAUUGUUACUGUACGGCAAAAUGGUUAAUUUUUGUGCUGUAUAUGGUUGUUCGAACCGUUCAACCCGUGAUAAACGGAACUAUUACCGUUUGCCUUAAAUCCCGGCUGAACGUUAUCAUCAGGCAAGACGGGAGAUGUAUAGAAAACGUCGGGAAACAUGGUUGAGAAAAAUAAGGAGAGAAGAUCUCUUAAGAGAGGACUCCACUAAAAGCCUUGACCACUUACGAGUCUUUAGUGACCAUUCAGGUGGAGCAAACCAGAAGGAUAGCCAACUUAAGAAUUCAUGUGGAGAGAGUCAUCGGAAACAUCAGGAAGAAGUUCUCCAUAAUGAGUUCAACCAUUCCAAUUGAUUUCACCAGGGUCGGGGAUUAACAGUUGGCUUUGGUGCUCUUGAAUAAAAUUUAGC